rnacentral:rRNA from 1 species
UAGGGAAUCUUCCACAAUGGACGCAAGUCUGAUGGAGCAACGCCGCGUGAGUGAAGAAGGUUUUCGGACCGUAAAGCUCUGUUGUUGGUGAAGAAGGAUAGAGGUAGUAACUGGCCUUUAUUUGACGGUAAUCAACCAGAAAGUCACGGCUAACUACGUGCCAGCAGCCGCGGUAAUACGUAGGUGGCAAGCGUUGUCCGGAUUUAUUGGGCGUAAAGCGAGCGCAGGCGGAAGAAUAAGUCUGAUGUGAAAGCCCUCGGCUUAACCGAGGAAUUGCAUCGGAAACUGUUUUUCUUGAGUGCAGAAGAGGAGAGUAGAACUCCAUGUGUAGCGGUGGAAUGCGUAGAUAUAUGGAAGAAUACCAGUGGCGAAGGCGGCUCUCUGGUCUGCAACUGACGCUGAGGCUCGAAAGCAUGGGUAGCGAACAGGAUUAGAUACCCUGGUAGUCCAUGCCGUAAACGAUGAGUGCUAAGUGUUGGGAGGCUUCCGCCUCUCAGUGCUGCAGCUAACGCAUUAAGCACUCCGCCUGGGGGAGUACGACCGCAAGGUUGAAACUCUAA